rnacentral:rRNA from 1 species
GACGAACGCUGGCGGCGUGCUUAACACAUGCAAGUCGAACGGAAAGGCCCUGCUUUUGUUGGGUUCUCGAGUGGCGAACGGGUGAGUAACACGUGAGUAACCUGCCCUUGACUGUGGGAUAACUUCAGGAAACUGGGGCUAAUACCGGAUAGGAGCUCCUGCUGCAUGUUGGUGGUUGGAAAGUUUCGGCUGUUGUGGCUGGAUUCGCGGCUUAUGAGCUGGUUGGGCAGGUAGUUGCUGACGAAGGCUUUGACGGGUAGCCCGCCUGAGAGGGUUACCGGCGUCCUUGGGCCUGAGAGAGGGCCCAGAAUCCAACCGGAGGCAGCGGGGGGGAACAUUGCGCAACGGGCGGAAGCCUGAGGCAGCAACGCCGCGUGCGGGAUGCCGGCCUUCGGGUUGUAAACAGAUUUGGAAUGUGACGAAGCGUGAGUGACGGUAAUGGGUAAAGAAGCCCCGGCUAACUACGUG